CAGAACGGGUUGAGAUUAAAGUUUCACACGUCUGCCAAGGACAGAUUCUGCUGGCUGCCCCAGGAACUCACACAGCCUUGCCUAAGUAGAGUGAACACAGAGCUAGCCCUCACAAGAUGCAGGAAGCAAGAGAGUGACAUGCAGGGGCCGGAGGAGCCCUGCCAUCACCUGCCCUGGGACUGCCAGCCAGCCCGCACCCAAGGAGCCAGGCGGUGCUGAGGUGAGAGACACAGGGAAAAGCAACUGCGUGGUGGCACUUUCAGCUCCCAAACCUGGUGCUGCAUGUCCCAGAACCACCUGGGAGCUUUUUAAAAGCCGAUCUGCUGUGCCCUGGCCCAGAUCCACCAAGUGCAUCAGAAUCUCAGAGCUCGUUUCUCCCCACGGGAAGGGAACUGGACUCAUCAAGUUACACCAGCUGACUGUCCGUGUCACUAAGCCUUUUCUGUGGUUUCCAGGAUGAGCCCAAGUCUGUGCUCACAUGUGAGUGGACAGCCCGAAGCCAGAAUCUCCCCUGAGGAAGUGACGUGAGUUUGACUUCUCCUCUGUUGUGAGUUAGGAGAUGAAAGGCAAGUGCAAAAAAUUAUUCAAUUCAAGACAUGCCAGCUGCCUCUCUAUCUUGGAGAGGGGGGCAAAGGUGAGCAAGCCACGUGCUUAAUCUCGGGAGCUGAGCAUGUACGCGGCUGAGCAGGAAGAGGAUGCUGGUGGAAGCAGCAGUUCCUGGGUGGAAGCCAUCUUUGUUGGGACUGUGCUCUGGGAGGAGUACGCUCAAUCAGAACCUGAAAAGUAAGGUUCCUUAGACUGUGCCUGCAGGCCCUGCUCCCAACCAUAUUCCAGAUAUUACCGAGACGUAGUGCUGACGUGGCUUAGUGCCUGCGGAGCAGGAAAGAUCCUAAGCAUAACGGACCCCAAAGAGCCAUCUUCCAGAAGUCACCAUCAGCACCACAGUUUGGAAAGGACACCCGUCCCAGGGAGUCAGGAUGGCGGAGCAGUCUAAGGAACCCGGUCCCUUCUGGGAAGGAAGGGACUCCUGCAGUCAGUUCCUGGCACCUGUAUGUAACAGAGCUUUGCCUCAGAGCUCACCGGAACAAGCAACCCCACAUGUUUUGUGGGACUCAUCGCGACUACUGCUUUCCAACAAGGACUCUGUGACGCAGCAACCGAACCCACAUCUGAAAGGAAUAAAGCUCGAGCUUUCUA